rnacentral:rRNA from 1 species
CCUACGGGUGGCAGCAGUGGGGAAUAUUGGGCAAUGGGCGCAAGCCUGAACCAGCGACGCCGCGUGAAGGAAGAAGGCUUUCGGGUUGUAAACCUCUUUUGUCAGGGAAGAAGGAAGUGACGGUACCUGACGAAUAAGCCUCGGCUAACUACGUGCCAGCAGCCGCGGUAAUACGUAGGUGGCAAGCGUUAUCCGGAUUUAUUGGGUGUAAAGGGCGUGUAGGCGGGGAUGCAAGUCAGAUGUGAAAGGUGUGGGCUCAACCCAUAGCCUGCAUUUGAAACUGUAUGUCUUGAGUGCUGGAGAGGCAAGUGGAAUUCCGUGUGUAGCGGUGAAAUGCGUAGAUAUACGGAGGAACACCAGUGGCGAAGGCGGAUUACUGGACAGUAACUGACGCUGAGGCUCGAAAGCGUGGGGAGCAAACAGGAUUAGAUACCCCAGUAGUC